rnacentral:rRNA from 1 species
GAUGAACGCUGGCGGCGUGCCUAAUACAUGCAAGUCGAGCGAACGGACCAGAAGCUUGCUCCUCUGAUGUUAGCGGCGGACGGGUGAGUAACACGUGGAUAACAUACCUAUCAGACUGGGAUAAUUACGGGAAACCGGAGCUAAUACCGGAAAAUAUUUUGAACCGCAUUGUUCCAAAGUGAAAUUCGGUCUUGGUGUCACUAAAAGAUGGAUACGGCUUGCAUUAGCUAGGUGGUAAGGUAACGGAAUACCAAGGCAACGAGGGAAACAGGACCCCAGAGAGAGAUCGGCGAGAUGGGAACUGAGGCAGGGCCCACACUCCUACGGGGGGCAGCAGUAGGGAAUCUUACGCAAUGGGGGAGAGCCUAAUGGAGCAACGCGGGGUAAGGGAUGAAGGUGCUAGGAUCGGAAAGCGCUGUUGGUAGGAAAGAAGAAAUGUGUAAGUAACCGGGCUGAUCUUGACGGUACCGGAAGAGAAAGCCACGGCUAACUACGUG